AGAGUUUGAUCCUGGCUCAGGACGAACGCUGGCGGCGUGCCUAAUACAUGCAAGUCGAGCGGGAUUAUAUCAGAAGCUUGCUUCUGAUAUAAUCUAGCGGCGGACGGGUGAGUAACACGUAGGCAACCUGCCCACAAGGCUGGGAUAACUACCGGAAACGGUAGCUAAUACCGGAUACAUCGUUUCCCUGCAUGGGGAGAUGAGGAAAGGCGGAGUAAUCUGUCACUUGUGGAUGGGCCUGCGGCGCAUUAGCUAGUUGGUGGGGUAAUGGCCUACCAAGGCGACGAUGCGUAGCCGACCUGAGAGGGUGAUCGGCCACACUGGGACUGAGACACGGCCCAGACUCCUACGGGAGGCAGCAGUAGGGAAUCUUCCGCAAUGGGCGAAAGCCUGACGGAGCAACGCCGCGUGAGUGAUGAAGGUUUUCGGAUCGUAAA
rnacentral:rRNA from 1 species